rnacentral:tRNA from 1 species
GCGGGCGUAGUCCAGCCUGGUCUAAGACGUCGGCCUGCCACGCCGAGGACCCGGGUUAGGGCAUUGUCCCCUCGAACGAAUCCCGGCGCCCGCACCA